GAUGAACGCUGGCGGCGUGCCUAAUACAUGCAAGUCGAGCGAACAGACGAGGAGCUUGCUCCUCUGACGUUAGCGGCGGACGGGUGAGUAACACGUGGAUAACCUACCUAUAAGACUGGGAUAACUUCGGGAAACCGGAGCUAAUACCGGAUAAUAUAUUGAACCGCAUGGUUCAAUAGUGAAAGACGGUUUUGCUGUCACUUAUAGAUGGAUCCGCGCCGCAUUAGCUAGUUGGUAAGGUAACGGCUUACCAAGGCAACGAUACGUAGCCGACCUGAGAGGGUGAUCGGCCACACUGGAACUGAGACACGGUCCAGACUCCUACGGGAGGCAGCAGUAGGGAAUCUUCCGCAAUGGGCGAAAGCCUGACGGAGCAACGCCGCGUGAGUGAUGAAGGUCUGCGGAUCGUAAAACUCUGUUAUUAGGGAAGAACAAAUGUGUAAGUAACUAUGCACGUCUUGACGGUACCUAAUCAGAAAGCCACGGCUAACUACGU
rnacentral:rRNA from 1 species